AAUAUUGGUCAAUGGGCGCAAGCCUGAACCAGCCACGUCGCGUGAAGGAAGACGGNCCNNCGGGUNGNAAACUUCUUUUGUAANNNNNUAAAGUGUAGUCCGUGUACUAUUUUGCAUGUACCUUACGAAUAAGGAUCGGCUAACUCCGUGCCAGUAGCCGCGGUAAUACGGAGGAUCCGAGCGUUAUCCGGAUUGAUUGGGUUUAAAGGGUGCGCAGGCGGGAGAUUAAGUCGGCGGUGAAAUUUUGCAGCUCAACUGUAAAAGUGCCUUCGAAACUGGUUUCCUUGAGUGUGGAUGAAGUAGGCGGAAUUUGUGGUGUAGCGGUGAAAUGCAUAGAUAACGCGAGGAACUCCGAUUGCGCAGGCAGCUUACUAAGCCAUAACUGACGCUCAGGCACGAAGGCGUGGGGAUCAAACAGG
rnacentral:rRNA from 1 species